UAGUAAUUACAACAACACGUUAUGGUUAGCUAACCAGGAGUAAGCUUGAAUCUGAUUGGUCACACCUUACAUAAGUUGCCUGCAGCUAGACCCAGAUAGCAGUACUGAUAACGCAGCCUUACAUCAAUUCUAUGACUAUCACCUCGUACAUAUACUCCUCUCUUGUUCAAAAUCCUCAUCCAAAUUCUCCUCACCUCUUCUCACCCCACUUUCCGAAUCCCCAUUUUGACCUGCGGCUAGCUGCCGGAAUUAAUGAAGCAUUAUUGUAUGGUGAAGAGUUUGAUGUUCAAGUGUUUCAGCUUGAGAUCAAUAAUCUUUCUUGUUUUCUUGACCAUGUUGCUUGUGUUGCUGCCGUUGAUGUUGCCACCAUUGCCGCCACCUCCAUCAAUACUCAUGUUUCUUCCAGUUUUGAUCAUGUCCUUUCUAAUUUUGUUGGCCUUCUCUUCGUCUCAAAUCCCUCAUAUUGCACUGCACUCUUCUACAUGACAAGGUACUUCCGAUCGAUCAAUUUCUUGAGUUUGCAAGAGUACCAACUUGCUAAAAACACCAUGGAUGGUGAAAUCAAGUUUGUGGGAAUGAACCAAGGCAUCAAGUCUCUCUAGCUAGAGUACUGUCUACAUGGAAGAGAUAUGGAAGAGAUCGAAAGGUUCGAUCCAUGUAGAAAAUGUAACAAGAUAUAGAUCAGGAUUUUGGUAAGGUGUUCUUAAUUUCUUUGAAAUCCUUUCCUUGUGUGUGAACCGAAUUGUUUAAUAUUGUUUUAUUGUUUAUAAUGGUUACCUGAGAGAAUCAAUCCAAUUUACAUACUUGGGAAAAAUUCCAAGACACCGGCAGUGCGACACUCGAUUAUGCCACAGAGAGUGGUGGCCGGAUGUUUGUGUGAUUCGGCCAUGGCUUAGAGGUCAUAAUUGGAUGUACAACUUGUGAUGCGUUUGGAUUUUCUACAAUAUAUAAUAUCUUGAAACCAAUAAUAAGACUUUCGUUACAGAAUCUGAGUUUCUUGUUUGAAUAACAAAAGGUGAAGUCACGGUAACUUGAAGUUAUGGUAACAGUAGCUAGGAGGCACCAAUCUUUAAUUCUGUCAUGGAACUAGACUUUACUUUGGUUGUGGCAGGCGUUUUCUGUCCUGCCAAGGACAGCAAAGUAUGCUGAAAACAGACUGUCAAAGUCUGGUCAGACAUGUGUUAGGUUCUUUGAACCAUAGUUUCCUUGAGUUUUUUUUUUUCUAACACGGUAAGUAAAAAAAAUAAAGAAACACAGGUGGAAAAAUAUCUGAAAAAUUAGCACAUUUAAACGAGUUACUCGUUUGAAAUUAAAAACUAAAUAUUUUUUUUCUGCUCGUCCCCUCUCAUGCCGAGAUCUCUCUCUCCACAAUCAAAUUAGUACCCUAACAAUCCUAAAACACUUCUAUUUCUCUCUCUAAAACACACUAUUAUAUCUUACUUGAUCUCUAGAAUAUUUAAAAAUAUCAUAUUAUUAAAGAGUGACAACCUAUCAUUAGUAUAGAUACCUACAUAACAUUAUAUAUGUUCAUGACAUGCUAUUUCAUUACACCAAUUUGGUUGUGUUUCCUGAGAUGUCUACGCAACCUGAUGCAUUAUACUCCUGGUAUCCAAGACAGAAUCAAUUGAUUAAUUACUUGGUAUGGAAAGCUCAGAAAGCAGCAACGACUAUCCGUGAAAGUGUUGAUGAGAUAGGAUAUAUUGUGGCCAACACCACGCUUAAUUUAUGUCGUGCAAACUUCAAGAGAUUGAGGUUGAGCAUCUUUAAGUAGCAUUAACGGAAGAUGAGAUUGCUUAUCGUUGAAGUGUUAGGGAUGUUGGUCCGUCCACGAGCAUUCCAGACCCGUUUACAAGUGAUCUAAGUCUAUCCACGAGCUGGGAUGAUAUUGGUACUCCUUAAACCUACAUGGAUAUUAUAGACUCGAUCUCGAGUUGAACAAGAUAGGGAAAUUAUUAGAUAUAAUUACAUAUUAUUAUAUGUUAUUAUAAUUGUGGAUAGAAGUAUAGUUAGUUUAAUUUUUAAUAAAAUGUAAUGUUGUUUUAAAUGUUAGUGUACAUUUGUUAUUUAUGAUUUAAUAUAUUAUGUGCUACUUAUGUGAA